AGGUCAUGAUGAGGACACUUCCUUCGCAAGCCCUUGUUCCAUUCCUCUGCUUUAUUCAGUAAUUCACCUUCUAAUUGGCAAAAAAAACCUAGUUAUUUCAUUUCUUAACUU